rnacentral:rRNA from 1 species
CAAUAGCGUAUAUUAAAGUUGUUGCGGUUAAAAGCUCGUCGCCCUCUGGGUGAGUAUCUGGCUCGGCCUGGGCAUCUUCUUGGAGAACGUAGCUGCACUUGACUGUGUGGUGCGGUAUCCAGGACUUUUACUUUGAGGAAAUUAGAGUGUUUCAAGCAGGCAUACGCCUUGAAUACAUUAGCAUGGAAUAAUAAGAUAGGACCUUGGUACUAUUUUGUUGGUUUGCGUACCUAGGUAAUGAUUAAUAGGGACAGUUGGGGGUAUUCGUAUUCAAUUGUCAGAGGUGAAAUUCUUGGAUUUAUGGAAGACGAACUACUGCGAAAGCAUUUACCAAGGAUGUUUUCAUUAAUCAAGAACGAAAGUUAGGGGAUCGAAGAUGAUUAGAUACCAU